GCCGACAUGGCGGAAUUGGCAGACGCGCUGCGUUCAGGUCGCAGUGGGGGCAACCCCGUGCAGGUUCGAAUCCUGUUGUCGGCACUA
rnacentral:tRNA from 1 species